rnacentral:rRNA from 1 species
UUGCACGCUGGCGGCAGGCCUAACACAUGCAAGUCGAGCGGAUGAAGGGAGCUUGCUCCUGGAUUCAGCGGCGGACGGGUGAGUAAUGCCUAGGAAUCUGCCUGGUAGUGGGGGAUAACGUCCGGAAACGGGCGCUAAUACCGCAUACGUCCUGAGGGAGAAAGUGGGGGAUCUUCGGACCUCACGCUAUCAGAUGAGCCUAGGUCGGAUUAGCUAGUUGGUGGGGUAAAGGCCUACCAAGGCGACGACCCGUAACUGGUCUGAGAGGAUGAUCAGUCACACUGGAACUGAGACACGGUCCAGACUCCUACGGGAGGCAGCAGUGGGGAAUAUUGGACAAUGGGCGAAAGCCUGAUCCAGCCAUGCCGCGUGUGUGAAGAAGGUCUUCGGAUUGUAAAGCACUUUAAGUUGGGAGGAAGGGCAGUAAGUUAAUACCUUGCUGUUUUGACGUUACCAACAGAAUAAGCACCGGCUAACUUCGUG